UGGAAGUAAAAAGUCGUAACAAGGUUUCCGUAGGUGAACCUGCGGAAGGAUCAUUACCGAGUGAGGGCCCUCUGGGUCCAACCUCCCACCCGUGUUUAUCGUACCUUGUUGCUUCGGCGGGCCCGCCUCACGGCCGCCGGGGGGCAUCUGCCCCCGGGCCCGCGCCCGCCGAAGACACACAAACGAACUCUUGUCUGAAGAUUGCAGUCUGAGUACUUGACUAAAUCAGUUAAAACUUUCAACAACGGAUCUCUUGGUUCCGGCAUCGAUGAAGAACGCAGCGAAAUGCGAUAAGUAAUGUGAAUUGCAGAAUUCAGUGAAUAUCGAGUCUUUGAACGCACAUUGCGCCCCCUGGUAUUCCGGGGGGCAUGCCUGUCCGAGCGUCAUUGCUGCCCUCAAGCACGGCUUGUGUGUUGGGCUCUCGCCCCCCGCUUCCGGGGGGCGGGCCCGAAAGGCAGCGGCGGCACCGCGUCCGGUCCUCGAGCGUAUGGGGCUUCGUCACCCGCUCUGUAGGCCCGGCCGGCGCCCGCCGGCGAACACCAUCAAUCUAACCAGGUGACCUCGAUCAGAGACC
rnacentral:rRNA from 1 species